CACGUAGGGUGCGAGCGUUGUCCGGAAUUAUUGGGCGUAAAGAGCUCGUAGGCGGCUUGUCACGUCGGGUGUGAAAGCCCGGGGCUUAACCCCGGGUCUGCAUUCGAUACGGGCUAGCUAGAGUGUGGUAGGGGAGAUCGGAAUUCCUGGUGUAGCGGUGGAAUGCGCAGAUAUCAGGAGGAACACUGGUGGCGAAGGCGGAUCUCUGGGCCAUUACUGACGCUGAGGAGCGAAAGCGUGGGGAGCGAACAGG
rnacentral:rRNA from 1 species